rnacentral:rRNA from 1 species
GUGUCAGCAGCCGCGGUAAUACAGAGAUGGCAAGCGUUGUUCGGAAUCACUGGGCAUAAAGGGCACGUAGGCGGGUUGGUAAGUCAGGUGUGAAAUCCCUCGGCUCAACCGAGGAACUGCGCCUGAAACUGUCGAUCUUGAGGGCAGGAGGGGAGAGUGGAACUCUUGGUGGAGCGGUGAAAUGCGUAGAUACCAAGAGGAACGCCGGUGGCGAAAGCGACUCUCUGGUCUGCUACUGACGCUGAGGUGCGAAAGCUAGGGGAGCAAACAGGAUUAGAAACCCUGGUAGUCC